UCAGAGAUAUGAGAUCUCCAAGAUCCCCAACCCCCAAAAGUACUACUAUAAUCUGGAAUGAAGCAGAGCUAAGAUCAUCCAUCAAUCUCAUAGUUGAUAAUGUCCGAAACGGAUUGAAGACAAACUCAAUAUUCACAAAGGUUGGUUGGGACAACAUUACAAAAGGGCUUGAAGCCGAAUUCAAAAGGUCCUUUGCAAAAGUACAACUGCGUAACAAGAUGAAUAAGUUAUGUAAGGAGUACAACAGCUUCAGGGCUUUGCUAGAAACAACUAGUUUCGGAUGGGAUGCGAAUGCUCGGACUACCACAGUUGAUGAUUCAGUAUAGGAAUCUGCUAUUCAGGGACACAAGGAUUGGGCAAAGUAUAGAAGAAAUGGUCUCCCCUUGUGGCCAGAGUUGUUAGAGAUCUUCUCCAACUCUAGUGCCUGUGGGGAUAGAGGUUUGUCACAGGCAACAGUUGUAACUCCAACGUCAACUAACCUUGAAAUUGAUGAUGAUUUACAUGACACUGAUAAUGAUGACAUUGAUGCUUGUACUGGGACACCCAAGGGGUCAGCUCCUCCAAAGCGGCGACUUGAUAGGACUCCUACGAAUCGUAGGAGGAAGAGCCACACAUGGACACUCACGAACUCCACUGAGGAUUUCAGAACCUUUGUCUGAUGGAGGAUGGAAAAGGGAUCAACCUCUGCCACCUCAGCAGUUACCCGACCACCUGACCCUAUUGUGACGGACCAUAUAGCAUGAUGAGCUGUUAGAAGCUACUGGACAGUUUGGAGGAUAUCCUGACGGAUUUGUAUAUGUUGGCGCAGCGUAAGAUACACAGUGACCCUGGAUGGCGCAUGUCUUUUAUUGAAGUGAGACUUGACAGGAGGUUAUGGAUGCUACAUGGUCUGAAGGAGUGAAAGUAACAGUUUCUGAUAUGAAUGAACAUAAAUCUUUUGUUUGGAUUUUAUAUGCCUCAUACUGACUGACACACUUAUGUCUUUUAGCAUACUAUGGAUGAUGUUGAUGUUUGAAUUAUGUUGCUUUGUUUUA